rnacentral:rRNA from 1 species
AACGAACGCUGGCGGCAGGCUUAACACAUGCAAGUCGAACGCACCUUUCGGGGUGAGUGGCCGACGGGUGAGUAACGCGUGGGAAUUUACCCUUCUCUACGGGAUCGUUCCGGGAAACUGGAAUUCAUACCGUAUACGUCCUGAGGGAGAAGGAUUUCCCGGGGAAGGAUGAGCGCGCGUUGGAUUAGCUAGUUGGUGGGGUACAGGCCUGUCAAGGCGACGAUCCAUAGCUGGUCUGAGAGGAUGAUCAGCCACAUUGGGACUGAGGCACGGCCCAAUCUCCGACGGGAGGCAGCAGUAGAGUAUAUUAGACAAGGGACGCAAGCCUGAUCCAGCCGUGCCGCGGGUGUGAGGAAGCCCCUAGGGUUGUAAAUCUCUUUCAGUGGGGGCGAUAGUGACGGUACCCACAGAAGAAGCCCCGGCUAACUUCGUG